UACGUAGGGACCAAGCGUUGUUCGGAUUUACUGGGCGUAAAGGGCGCGUAGGCGGCGAAUCAAGUCAGUUGUGAAAUCUCCGAGCUUAACUCGGAACGGUCAACUGAUACUGUUUUGCUAGAGUGCAGAAAGGGCAACUGGAAUUCUCGGUGUAGCGGUGAAAUGCGUAGAUAUCGAAGAGGAACACCUGCGGCGAAGGCGGGUUGCUGGGCCGACACUGACGCUGAGGCGCGAAAAGCCCAGGGGGAGCGAACGGGG
rnacentral:rRNA from 1 species